rnacentral:rRNA from 1 species
UAGAGGAAGUAAAAGUCGUAACAAGGUCUCCGUUGGUGAACCAGCGGAGGGAUCAUUG